rnacentral:lncRNA from 1 species
CUCUGUCUCACCAACAGACACAGACAUAUACACUUCUAGGCCAGGAAAGCGCUAACCAGGGCCCUGUGACUCUACGCAGGUUCCAGAACACGCCUUCUACAUUUGUUACUGAACCGAUCAGCGAACACAGACAAACGUGCCAACACUUAAGUCUACUGGCUGGACUUCAUCUCCAUGGCAACAAGCAUGGAAGUAGGUUUUAAGAAAAAUAAGAGAGUAGUGGAUUAAUCACUGGUUAAGAGCCAACAGACUUCACUCCUCCAACAAUCAGCUAUGAUACUGUGUCUGUGUCUACAUUAUGCAUUUUCAAAAGGCGAAGAGUUGAUUCCAGAAGGAACUGUGAAGAGCCACAACAAUGUGCCAGUGAAUAAUGAGUAGUACCUACUGUGGCAACUCUUCAGCUAAGAUGAGUGUCAACGAAGUAUCAGCUUUCUCAUUGACUCUGGAGCAAAAAACUGGCUUUGCUUUUGUUGGGAUUUUGUGUAUCUUCUUGGGACUUCUUAUUAUCCGAUGCUUCAAAAUCCUGCUAGACCCAUAUAGUAGCAUGCCUUCCUCUACAUGGGAAGAUGAAGUUGAAGAGUUUGAUAAAGGGACAUUUGAAUAUGCACUCGCGUGAGAGUUCCAGCUAUAUGGUUUUUAUGGUUGUGCCAUCGGGACACAUUCUGGAUACAAUUGUAACUACCUUGAGGGUGUGGGAGAGAGGCUCAUUUUGUUCAGUGAAUUCAAUAAACAUCUGUGACUAAUUUCUUCACCAUGCUGUGUAAAUGAUAAACUAUUGUUGGGAUUCCUCACUUUCCUCUGUUCCCACUUAGAGGUUUCCAAU